GGAAGUAAAAGUCGUAACAAGGUCUCCGUUGGUGAACCAGCGGAGGGAUCAUUACCGAGUUAUUCAACUCAUCAACCCUGUGAACAUACCUAAACGUUGCUUCGGCGGGAACAGACGGCCCCGUGAAACGGGCCGCCCCCGCCAGAGGACCCCUAACUCUGUUUCUAUAAUGUUUCUUCUGAGUAAAACAAGCAAAUAAAUUAAAACUUUCAACAACGGAUCUCUUGGCUCUGGCAUCGAUGAAGAACGCAGCGAAAUGCGAUAAGUAAUGUGAAUUGCAGAAUUCAGUGAAUCAUCGAAUCUUUGAACGCACAUUGCGCCCGCCAGUAUUCUGGCGGGCAUGCCUGUUCGAGCGUCAUUACAACCCUCAGGCCCCCGGGCCUGGCGUUGGGGAUCGGCGGAGCCCCCCGUGGGCACACGCCGUCCCCCAAAUACAGUGGCGGUCCCGCCGCAGCUUCCAUCGCGUAGUAGCUAACACCUCGCGACUGGAGAGCGGCGCGGCCACGCCGUAAAACACCCAACUCUUCUGAAGUUGACCUCGAAUCAGGUAGGAAUACCCGCUGAACUUAAGCAUAUCAAUAAGCGGAGGA
rnacentral:rRNA from 2 species